rnacentral:sRNA from 1 species
GGAUGUGAGGGCGAUCUGGCUGCAACAUCUGUCACCCCAUUGAUCUCCAGGGUUGAUCUGACUGGCUAUGCGGGUGUCCCCUUCCUCCCUUACAGCACCAUGUGCUGCAUCCUUCCCGAAGCUGCAUGCUCGGUCGAAGAGGAUGGCCUUCCCUGAAUAGAAUCAAACAAACUGAGGCCAGCACAAUAGCUCCCCUGGAUAGUGCACCUGCUUUAUCAUGCACACGACCCAGGUUCAAGCCUGAGCCUCACUGGAAGUGUUGGUGUUU